GGCCAGUAUUGCGCCAGUGUGGGACUCUCAGAGCCCUCUGGAAGCUGCAAAGAGCGCUUCUACUGUAGAGAGGGAGCUAAGUCUGCAACUCCUGCGGAUGGACCGACAGGAGGUUUGUGUCCGGCAGGAAGUUACUGUCCUCUAGCUUCUUCCUCUCCCCUCCCCUGUCCCCCCGGCACCUUCAGCAACAGCACUGGCCUCAGCAGUCCUGAGGAAUGUAUCAGCUGUCCACCAAGUUUCUAUUGUUUAGGUUCCAACAACACCUCACCUUCAGGUCCUUGUUUUCCUGGUUUCUACUGUACCGGUGGCUCAGCUACGCCUGUUCAGAAUGAAGCAGAGGAGGGUUAUUAUACCUUGGAGGGG